UCCCCAGGGCCAGCCGGGCAGCCGCGGGCAGGACGGGGCGCAGGUACGUGCGGGGGUCGGGGUCCCCGCGGGCGCAGCCCCCCGUGCCCCCCCUGCCAGGCCCUCUCCUCUCUGUGUUUCAGGGCGAGCCGGGCCCCCGGGGCGAGCCGGGCACUUGGGUGAGUGGCACUGGGGACACGCAGGGCGUGGGCACGGGAGGACCCCGACACGCGAUUGGGACCCCAGUGAUGUCCUCAGGGUCCCCACUUGUUUCCACUGCCCCACAGCUUGUCUCUGAGUCCCCAGUGACGUCCUGGGUGUCCCCAGCACCCCAAGGGUGGCUCCGGGGGUCCCUGGCCAAUGUCACCCAGUGCCAAUGUCACCUGAACUGGGUGCUGGGGCACAGAGCGGGCUCAGACCCCCCCGGGGUUCCACUCUCCUUCCCCUGGUGUCGUGGUGAGUCGGGGGGUCCCCCGGGGGUGGCCUGGGGCCAUUUGGGGUGCAGCCCCCGCUGAGCCCGUGCCUCUCUUCCCCAGGGGGAGGGUUUGCACCAGCUCCGCGAGGCGCUGAAGAUUUUAGCGGAGAGGGUUUUAAUCUUGGAAACAAUGAUUGGGCUCUACGGCCAGUAGCUUCCAAACCCUCCUGCAGCAGCAGGCCCGGCUGGAGGUCCUGGCUAGAAGGGUCACCUUGCUGGAAGCCAUCAUCUGGCCAGAGCCAGAGCCCGGCUCGGGCAGCGGUGUCCCCAGCACAGCCAUCCCCGGGGUGCCCCACGGCAAGCGUGGCAGCGGCCACCCCCCCUACCGCAUCGUCACCGCCGCCCGCCGCGCCCCCCUGGAGCCGUGACAGGGGCGUCACCCGGGCCACCCCCACCGUGCCACCCUGGAGAGCAGGACGGGCUCAGCCCCGUCCCCCCUCUUGGUGCUACUGGUGGCACGGCACCGUCCCCCCACCACGCUUCGCCCCCAUCGCCGCUGCUUGAGCCCCCGGGAGGGCCAGGGCUGUCCCCAAGGCCAUUUCUGUCCCCCGGGCAAGGCGCAGCUCCGGGGGGGUGGGCUCUGUCUCAUCCCAUCUCCCCGGGCACCCCAGCCCAGGGGAGGGGAUUGGGGGGCUGGCGGUGGGCACCCCCCGGGCGGGGAGCCCGCCGUGCUGCGCGCUUCGCUGCUUGGGGACCCGCCAGGUCAUUAAAUGUCCCCAAAUCCCUGUCCUGUGGGGUCGCUUGGUGCGCCGGGGGGUGGGAUGGGAUGGGAUCUAUGGGAUGGGAUCCAUGGGAUAGGAUCUAUGGGACCCAUGAGGUGGGGGGGAUGGGAUGGGAUGGGAUGGGAUGGGAUGGGAUGGGAUGGGAUGGGAUGGGACGGGACGGGAUGGGAUGGGACGGGAUAGGACGGGAUCCAUGGGAUGGGAUAGGAUCUAUGGGAU
rnacentral:lncRNA from 1 species